rnacentral:lncRNA from 1 species
GUAAUGCUUAGUCUGUGACCUCUGCGCACGUGUGUGCCUUUUCUGUCUUCAGCGUAGGGGCUGAACAAUAGGUUUUUUCAGCCUGAAAGGAACUGAAAAUGUAUUUGCAUUCUGCUAUCUCCUCUUCUGGCUCCAGUUUCAUUCUCUUAUUUUUGUUACCAGAUUUGAGUUCUUGGGUAUAAAAGGGGAGCGUUUUACCAAAUUUCUUUGAUAUCGCUUCUCUCCUCCGUUCCCAGGAGAGCUGUGAGGCUUUCAGCUGCGUGCCAGGAAGCCGGUUCCCUGUUGUCGGUGGAGCAGACACCUGGAAAUCCUGAUCUCAUGAAUUCCUGCUAGCACUGCGGGGCUGGGGAGCGGGGCUGUCCGUGCCUCGAGCCCACCGCGCUCUCCCUGCAAAAACCCAGCCCCUGCAGGCUCGAGGUCCGUGCAGCCCAGUCCUUCCUCUGAGCAUGCCCACUGCUAGGCAUUGCAGGAGAAGGACUGUACGUAGUUUACAUUCCCAUCUGAUACGUGAAGAAUAUGUUUUUUUGUCAAGGGCUCCUAAAGCUAUUAAACCUUACAGGUACAUGAAGAUGAGAGAGAGAAAAUCUUACUCCUAGCAGUGCCAUACAUACGGAGGAAAAAAGGUGACGUACAUUUAAUAUGCACUAGAAAUUGUUUAUCUUGUACUGUUUUGCUAUCCCUUUAAGAUAUGCUGAUUUGAACUGGUUGUCAAUGCAACAUCACUUAGUCGGUCUUCAUCUGGACCUUAGAGCACAACAAAAUUAUUGGUACAUAAA